AUUAGGGUGGCAGAGACCGGAUAUUGCAUAAAACUUAAACUUUUAUUAAACAGAGGUUCA
rnacentral:tRNA from 1 species